GACGAACCGUGCGAACGUUGUUCGGAAUCACUGGGCGUAAAGGGCGCGUAGGCGGUUCGCUAAGUUGGAUGUGAAAACUCUGGGCUCAACCCAGAGCCUGCAUCCAAAACUGGCGGGCUAGAGUUCUGGAGGGGGUAGCGGAAUUCCUGGUGUAGCGGUGAAAUGCGUAGAUAUCAGGAGGAACACCGGUGGCGAAGGCGGCUACCUGGACAGAAACUGACGCUGAGGCGCGAAAGCUAGGGGAGCAAACAGG
rnacentral:rRNA from 1 species